rnacentral:rRNA from 1 species
CAGCCGCGGGAAUACGAAGGGGGCUAGCGUUGCUCGGAAUGACUGGGCGUAAAGGGCGCGUAGGCUGUUUGUACAGUCGGGUGUGAAAUUCCUGGGCUUAACCUGGGGGCUGCACCCGAUACGUGCAGGCUUGAGUGCGGAAGAGGGUCGUGGAAUUCCCAGUGUAGAGGUGAAAUUCGUAGAUAUUGGGAAGAACACCGGUGGCGAAGGCGGCGACCUGGUCCGUGACUGACGCUGAGGCGCGAAAGCGUGGGGAGCAAACAGGAUUAGAUACCCCUGUAGUCCCUGUCUCUUAUACACC